UACGAAGGGGGCUAGCGUUGCUCGGAAUCACUGGGCGUAAAGGGUGCGUAGGCGGGUCUUUAAGUCAGGGGUGAAAUCCUGGAGCUCAACUCCAGAACUGCCUUUGAUACUGAGGAUCUUGAGUUCGGGAGAGGUGAGUGGAACUGCGAGUGUAGAGGUGAAAUCCGUAGAUAUUCGCAAGAACACCAGUGGCGAAGGCGGCUCACUGGCCCGAUACUGACGCUGAGGCACGAAAGCGUGGGGAGCGAACAGG
rnacentral:rRNA from 1 species